rnacentral:rRNA from 1 species
CAGUAGCCGCGGUAAUACGAGGGGGGCAAGCGUUGUUCGGAAUUAUUGGGCGUAAAGGGUGCGUAGGCGGUUUGGCAAGUUUGGUGUGAAAUCUUCGGGCUCAACUCGAAGUCUGCAUCGAAAACUGCCGGGCUCGAGUAUGGGAGAGGUGAGUGGAAUUUCCGGUGUAGCGGUGAAAUGCGUAGAUAUCGGAAGGAACACCUGUGGCGAAAGCGGCUCACUGGACCAUAACUGACGCUGAUGCACGAAAGCUAGGGGAGCAAACAGGAUUAGAUACCCGCGUAGUCCCUGUCUCUUAUAU